rnacentral:rRNA from 1 species
UCAUCCUACGGGAGGCAGCAGUGGGGAAUAUUGCACAAUGGGGGAAACCCUGAUGCAGCAACGCCGCGUGAGUGAAGAAGUAUUUCGGAAUGUAAAGCUCUCUCAGCAGGGAAGAAGAUGACGGUACCUGAGUAAGAAGCCCCGGCUAACUACGUGCCAGCAGCCGCGGUAAUACGUAGGGGGCAAGCGUUAUCCGGAUUUACUGGGUGUAAAGGGAGCGUAGACGGCUGCGAAAGUCUGAAGUGAAAGCCAGGGGAUCAACCCCGGGACUGCUUUGGAA